UUUGAUUAUUUUGUAGAAAUAAGCAUGCAAUUAAUUUUAUUUUUAGGGGCAAUUGCUUAUAUACCCUUGAAAAAUUUUCGACUUUCCGAUUUACCCCUUUUAGAAGACUAAUAUUGAAAAUACCCUUUCUACGUUCCAACCUAUUUCUAAUAUAUCCCUAGAAUUAAAAUCUGUUAAUUAACUUUGUUAUCUCUGUAAAAUUACUAUUUUGACCUUUCAAAUAUACACUUCCAUCAUCUCUAACUUUUUUAUUUGCCCUUAAAGUCAGGGGCACAAAAGGUAUUUUGAUUUUUGGUCUUUUCCAAUAUAUCCCUCUACCGGCACCAACAUUUCUUUUUUGCCCUUAAGUUAAGGGCAAAUUUGCAUUUUAAUUUUUUUUUAACUGUGGUAGAUAUUUAACUCACGUUUAACCAAGUUAACUUAACAGAAAAUAACUGCGAGGACAUUUUGUAAUAACGGUGGAACAUAUGAGGGGUAUUUUAAAAAGAAAAAAAAAAAGAAGGGAUAAAUCGGAUAUUUUUAAACUUAUGAGGGGUAUAUAGGCAAUUAUACCUUAUUUUUUAAAAAUAUUUUAAAGAAUAUAUUUGUAACAGAGAAUUUGAUGUGUACAUCGCAUGUGCACCUGAUUACAGCAAAGAUCACAUGGGUACAGUGGGCCCACCUCUUAGUACAUUUCCUCGUCAAGAGAUGAAUUACAAAAAUCAAAAAAAAAUUUAAAAUAUUUAUAUUAAAAAAAUAGCGACUAUCCAAAUUACCAUAGCUGGAUUAAGAUAUUUAGUCAUAUUAUACCUCACUACUUCAAAUUCUAGAUGUAUCACAUUUCUCACAUUCCUUCCCUUUUUAAGUUCUGAUGUUCUUAUCUGGCUCAAGUAUACGGCAAUGUGAGACUCAUUUCGUUAGUCUUAUUAUUCAGACCCUACAUGUCGCUAGCCUUGUUAUUCAUAUUCUGAUUCAGAGAAGACUCAUCUCACACUUUCGGCUAGUAAUUGAUUGACUAUGAUAUCAAUUGUGACGUCCCGUUUUUCUGAAAAUCACCCAUCUUAGAACUACUCUAAUCUUAGUACGUUUAAUCCUUUUAACUUCUUGAGUCUAACCACUGCCCAGUAUAUUAAAACCAGUUUAAGAAAUUUAGUCAUAUUACAUAUCUCAUAAUCAUGAGAAAAACACUGUCAAUUUUUUUGUAAAAAAUU
rnacentral:lncRNA from 1 species